CCCACUCGUGCGCACGCUUGCAUUCACGCGUCCACUUAACCGCGGUCAGUGAGCGCCUCCUGUGUGCAAGCCGCGGUGUCAAAGACCAGCCUGUGGGGUGCUGCUUAAAGGAGAUCACAGAAAAGAGCAGUCGCUGAAGGCAGAUGUGGAGGGAAGAGAGCAGUUCGUUCUUUCUUUUUCUUUUUCAAAAGAGAUUGGGAGAUACGAAGCACGGACGGGAAUGACCUGAUGGAAGGGAAACGGGACGAGCGCAUGCGCUCCCGGGCCUGAGCGGGCGGGCGGGGGCUUCCGCUUGGCGGGACCGAAGUCUGGAAAGUUUAAGAAGCAGAUUACAAAAGGACUCCAGCAGUCAAGCACACAGGGAAGGUCCUCCCACAAACGGUGAAGGGCUAAUAAGAUGGUGUCCACAAGAGUGGGUGGAGAGAUAUGGAAGAUAAAGGCCGCCCAAGGGAACAUCCUGCCCAUCCAGCCAUACCCCACUUGCGAUACAGCUGGUGAGAAAAGGGAGUCUUCUCUGCCCUUGAAACUGAAUACAGUCAACUAGGACAAACCCAUUACUUUCUCACAAAAAACCCUUUCCAAAUCUUUUUAAGGAGUCCGUAUUCGUUUUGCCACUGAGGGAGAAGCAAAAUCCUGGAAGACCCUUAAGGCAUUGGAUCAAACUGCUGAUAGUGAGCUCUUCCUUGUUGCAAGAAGUGUGGAUUUCAUUCAAGACCUCUGUGUGCCUUCCAGGACUGUUGGGUGGCAUCCGCAAUAGAAUAAAUUUGCUGUCUUUCACCUGUGAAAAUGGUUCCCCAGAACCUCAAUCAGGAUCAUGCCUCCCUGCCCAGGCUCGUCUCCUGAUUUUAAGGUGUUGGAAAACAGAGAGGUUUGUUCCCCCACCAGCCCUCACCCACCAGACCUGGUGUUUGGAGAAAGCUGCGUUGGACCAAGAAAGUGAUCUUUAGCGAAGGAAUCCAGCUGAGAGAACUGCCUAUGACACAGCCUGCUGAUGAGGAAACAGAGGCCCAAAGUUUAAUCCAGCGAAGAUUCUCAGGAACGGGCCAGAACCUGAACACAAAUCUCCCAAUAAUUACCUCAUGGUUAUUUUCUGCCCUUGAUCUACAAGUGGAGGCAUCUUCUGACAUAAUAUGGACAUUUUACGUAAUAGUGAAAGAAACUAGAAACCGUUGCACACACCAGAGUAGGGUUCAUCUGGACACCAUUUUGUCUCCUUCGCAACGUAGCUUUGCCCAAUUUACGGUUAGAAUAAUCUGAUUUCACACCACAGUGAUCAUUCCACAUUUGAGUAACACAGAACGUCCUCACCCGGUGUCUAAAGCCCUUUGAUGCCCCACUUUUGUCUUUUAGUGCCAAUUCUUGUUAGCUGGAGACAAAUUAUCUACAGGCCCAGCAAAGAAAGGGGCCCAUUUGGCAACUAUUCAUCCUUGUCAGAUUUGAAGCCAUUCCACGAAGGCAUUUUAAUUAGGCGGUGGGAGAGCUGCCACAUUUAGAAGCAGCUCCUAAAUGGGAAGCAGAGAAUUCCAAGACCAACUGAGUUCUUGGUGCUUGUGCUGUUUACCAUUUAAAAGACAGCCCCAGUGAUUCUUCUCCAGCCCUCCUUUCGUACUCCAGGCUUUGUAAGAUUCGGAACGGUUCAGUGAUUUCUUGAGGCUCAUUCCUUAGCCGUUCUCGUUGUGCUUCUGACUGCAUGGUUUUCAGACAGAACACGGGUCCUUUGAUCAUGCUUUAAUGAACUCAAGCUAUGCACCGUAUAAAUGGUGAUUGUUUUGAUUAUUAUCUUCAGUUUUUCCACAAGUGCUAAGGGACGACACAUUUUAAUGGGGGCCUUUACAAUCCGUGCAUCUGAAAUGGUUUUUGUUCACUCAAAGCAAUAAACCAAAAAUCCACAACGUCCUGUGUUAGUUAACUGCUUGCUUACAAAAAGUGGACCAAGUAGCUCAGUGUUAAGCAUCGUUGUCUCUGUUUCACAGCGUGGAAGCUGUAGGAGAGAAAGAUUAAGUCGGCCAGCUCGUGAAAGGCAGGGUAAGGCCUCAAAGCCAGCACCCAGAUCAUAUUGUAGCAGUUGUUCAAAUGAGAAAUCACAAUUUUCAUCUCCUGAUCGAUGUCAAACAUAUUGGCAGUAUUUCUAGAAGCUCGUGAGUGAGCAUUUAUCGAAAGGAAGUUUCCCGGCUUAGAUAAAAGAAAUGGAACAUGGCCAUGUGAUAGAAUAGAGAACUCUGGACCCAAAACUAGGACUUGAUUUCUGUCCUGAGGUCUGCACCUGACAACUGCCGUGACCUUGAGCAAGAAACCCCAUGUCCCUGGGCUUCCAGUUCC